AUGGAGGAAUGGUUCAGCUUGUGCUUCAUAGCACUAUGCACGCCGCUUGCCCUUUGGCUUCUCAAGCUCGCCGGCAGCAAGAAAGAGCCACAGAAGCACCAUCUGCCGCCGCCAGGGCCAUGGACUCUCCCGAUCAUCGGCAGCCUCCACCACGUCGCCAGCGCCCUCCCUCACCGCAGGAUGAUGGACCUGUCUCGCCGGCACGGCCCACUGAUGCACCUCAUGCUAGGCGAGGUCCCCACCGUGAUCGUCUCCGGCGCCGAGGCGGCGGCGCUGGUGAUGAAGACCAACGACCUCGCCUUCGCGGGCCGGCCGCAGAGCGCGACGUCCGACAUCUUCGGCUGCGGCGGCAAGAACAUCGGCUUCGCCCCCUACGGCGAGCACUGGCGCCAGAUGCGCAAGGUGUGCAUCGUGGAGCUCCUCAGCUCCAGGCAGGUGAAGCGCAUAGAGAGCAUCAGGGCGGAGGAGGUGGGCAACCUCCUCCGCUCCAUCGCCGCCAUGGAUGGCGCCACCGUCAACGUCAGCGAGAAGAUGACGGAGCUGAGCAACGACAUCGUGACGAGGGCGGUCUUCGGAGGCAAGUUCACGCAGCAGGAAGAGUACCUCCGCGAGCUGGAUGAGGCGUUUGCGCUGGUGAGCGGCUUCUCCCCCGUCGACCUUUUCCCGUCGUCGCGGCUAGUCCGGUGGCUCAGCAACGACGAGCGCCGCAUGAGGAGGUGCCACGGCCACAUCCAACGCAUCAUCGCCAACGUCAUAGACGGGCGCAAGGCCGGGCGAGCCGCCGCCGACGAGGAGGAUCUGCUGGAUGUGUUGCUCAGGCUGCAACAGGAGGACUCGUUGGAAUUCCCUCUAACCACCGAGAUCAUAGGCGCCGUGUUGUUUGAUUGUGCUUUCCACGGCCUUGGUUUACAGGACAUAUUUGCAGGUGCCACGGCGACCAUAGGAACCACCUUGACGUGGGCUCUGUCGGAGCUUGUGCGCAGGCCUGAAACUAUGGCCAGGGCACAACAAGAAGUCCGAGAGGUUCUUGGCCAAGACCGGGCUGUCAUUACCAAUAACGACCUCGCUAAACUCGACUACACGCAGAUGGUCAUCAAGGAAACCCUCAGGUUCCAUCCGCCUGCUUCUCUAAUUCCCCGCGCGUCCAUAGAGGAUUGUACUAUCAUGGGUUAUGACAUCCCCAAAGGCACCAAUGUAUACGUUAAUGUCUUCGCGAUUUCUCGAGAUCCUGCAUACUGGAACAAUCCUGGCGAGUUUAUGCCAGAGAGGUUUGAGAACAGCAACACAAAUUACAAUGGCUCCUACUUUGAAUUCACUCCCUUCGGCGCAGGGCGGCGGCAAUGCCCCGGGAUUCAGUUUAGCUCGUCAGUCAUGGAGAUGACACUAACAAAUAUUCUCUAUCACUUCAACUGGAAGCUUCCUGAUGGUGCUAGCCCGGUUUCGCUUGACAUGUCCGAGAAAUUUGGGCUUGCAGUAAGCAGAAAGUAUGACCUGAAACUUGAAGCUACUCCACACGUCUGGUUCAAUGCUAUGCGGUCGAAGUGA
rnacentral:rRNA from 1 species